AGCGAACGCUGGCGGCAGGCCUAACACAUGCAAGUCGAGCGCCGUAGCAAUACGGAGCGGCAGACGGGAGAGUAACACGUGGGAACGUACCCUUCAGUACGGAACAACCAAGGGAAACUUUGGCUAAUACCGUAUACGUCCGCAAGGAGAAAGAUUUAUCGCUGAAGGAUCGGCCCGCGUCUGAUUAGCUAGUUGGUGAGGUAAUGGCUCACCAAGGCGACGAUCAGUAGCUGGUCUGAGAGGAUGAUCAGCCUCACUGGGACUGAGACACGGCCCAGACUCCUACGGGAGGCAGCAGUGGGGAAUAUUGGACAAUGGGCGCAAGCCUGAUCCAGCCAUGCCGCGUGGGUGAUGAAGGCCCUAGGGUUGUAAAGCCCUUUCGGCGGGGAAGAUAAUGAGGUACCCGCAGAAGAAGCCCCGGUAACUUCGUG
rnacentral:rRNA from 1 species